rnacentral:rRNA from 1 species
GCCAGACUCCUACGGGAGGCAGCAGUGGGGAAUAUUGCACAAUGGGGGAAACCCUGAUGCAGCGACGCCGCGUGAGUGAAGAAGUAUUUCGGUAUGUAAAGCUCUCUCAGCAGGGAAGAAAAUGACGGUACCUGAUUAAGAAGCCCCGGCUAACUACGUGCCAGCAGCCGCGGUAAUACGUAGGGGGCAAGCGUUAUCCGGAUUUACUGGGUGUAAAGGGAGCGUAGACGGUGAUGCAAGUCAGAAGUGAAAGCCCGGGGCUCAACUCCGGGACUGCUUUUGAAACUGUGUGACUGGAGUGCAGGAGAGGUAAGCGGAAUUCCUGGUGUAGCGGUGAAAUGCGUAGAUAUCAGGAGGAACACCAGUGGCGAAGGCGGCUUACUGGACUGUAACUGACGUUGAGGCUCGAAAGCGUGGGGAGCAAACAGGAUUAGAUACCCUUGUA